GACGAACGCUGGCGGCGUGCUUAACACAUGCAAGUCGAACGGGCCUGUCUUCUUUUUUGGGGGUGGGUUGAGUGGCGAACGGGUGAGUAUCACGUGAGUAACCUGCCCUUCGGUCCUGGAUAACCGCUUGAAAGGGCGGCUAAUACGGGGGGGUCCGGUUGGUCCGCAUGGGCUGGUCGGGAUAGAUUCACUGUUUUUGGUGUUUCGGCGGGGGAUGGGCUCGCGGCCUAUCAGCUUGUUGGUGGGGUGAUGGCCUACCAAGGCGGUGACGGGUAGCCGGGCUGAGGGGGUGGGCGGCCAGACUGGGACUGAGGUCCGGCCCAGACUCGUGCGGGAGGCAGCAGUGGGGGGUAUUGCACAAGGGGCGGAAGCCUGAUGCAGCGACGUCGCGUGAGAGAUGGAGGCCUUCGGGUUGUGAACCUCUGUUUCCGGUGGUGAAGGCCCUGUCCGUGUGGUGGGGUUGACGGUAGCCGGGGAUGAAGCGCCGGCUAACUACGUG
rnacentral:rRNA from 1 species